rnacentral:tRNA from 1 species
AAAGAACUAGUUAAAAAUAACUCCGGACUGUCAGACCGAUAUUACUGGUAACCACCCCAGUGCUCUUUA